GUUUUUGAGCCGUUAUUAAGUGAAGCAGGGACACAGGAAGGCAGGUUGAGCGCACGGCUGGAAGAGUGCGUCCAAGCACGCAGGGAGUGGGGCAGGCAAAACCGUUCCACGCACAAGCCCGAGGUGCGACGGGGAGGGAAACUAUAGUACCGAAGCGACUGGGGCCUAAACUGUCAAGAAAAGCUGCUAGCGAGGCUCAAGAGCGCCCGUACCGCAAACCGACACAGGUAGGCGGGGUGAGCAACCUAAGGCGCGCGAGAGAACCCUCGUUAAGGAACUCGGCAAAAUGACCCCGUAACUUAGGGAGAAGGGGUGCCUGGCGCAUGGAGCGCCGGGUCGCAGAGAAGAGGCCCAGGCGACUGUUUAACAAAAACACAGGUGCUUGCGAAAACGGAAGUUGACGUAUAGGGGCUGACGCCUGCCCGGUGCUGGAAGGUUAAGGGGAAGGGUUAUCCAGCACUCAACUCUGCUUACCGAAAGGAGACAAUGACCCAGCACUCAACUCUGAUGAUCAGCUUUGAUUUAAGCCCCACAGUUGGUCUUUGGAGUUGAGUGCUGGGCAACGAAGGUAAGAACCGUUCCACAAGAAAUCAGAACUGGAAACUCGUAUAUUACGAAGCGUACAGUUCCCCGGAAGAUGCAAAGGAGCGGGAAUACCGGCUGAAACAUCACGGUCAGGCUA
rnacentral:rRNA from 1 species